rnacentral:rRNA from 1 species
AUGGUUCAGGGUUUCAGAUCUUUUGUAUGGACAGCUGUCUCAUAUCAAAUGAAGGACAUCAUGAAGCUGUCACCCUCAACAUCACAGUUUUUGGUCUCUGCUGCAUUUCUCCCUUGGAGCAUAAAACCUAUAUAUGGGAUUGUGUCGGACUGUAUUCCAAUUAAGCAGAGGAAGCGUGUACCCUAUUUGAUCAUUUCUAGUGGUCUUUCUCUAUUUCCAUGGCUUAUCAUUGGGCUGUCAGAACAUUUGAGGAGCUCAAGCAAUCUUUGUAUGCUAAUGUUGAUUGUACAGAACUUGGGAUCUGCCAUGGCAGAUGUUGUUAUAGAUGCAAUGAUUGCAGAGGCAGUUCGAUCAGCAGGGCCAAAAUUUGCUGGUGAUCUCCAGUCAUUAUCUUGGUCAUCAAUGGCUGUAGGGGGGAUAUUUGGGAGCUUAGGAGGAUACGCAUUGUCCAAUCUCCCACUAAAUGCUAUUGAUAUUAUUUUCUCUGCUCUUCCACUGUUCCAACUAGUUACAUGUGUUUUCGUUAAGGAAUCUCCAAAAGGAUUUGAAAGCACGACAGAUAACGCCGCACAUGAUCAUGCUGAUGGUCAGAAUAUUGAUAGUGCUUUUGCUGGACAAGGCUCAGGUGAAUCUUUUAAAUAUGAGAAGGGUGCUCGUAAAAAGAGAAAAAGGAGAUCAUUAUCCAAACGAUCUGAAGCUCAUGAGAAGCACAAUAAAUCAGUUAAUUUAUACCCAUCUCUGAAAUCAGCCUUAGUCAGUUUAUGCACUGCUUUUAAGCAGCCAGCAAUUAUGCGACCUAAGGCAUGGUUUUUCAUUUCAAAUGCAGCAGUUACAAAUAUCUCAACAGUCAUGUUCUAUUAUCAAACGGAGGUUCUACAUCUGGAGGCAUCCUUCCUAGGGACUGCAAGUGUGAUUGGGUGGUUCAAUCUAAUGCUUGGCACAUAUAUCUACAACCGCUACUUAAAGCAUAAAAAACUCAGGAAUAUUCUUAUGUUUGCACAUGUUGGCCUUGCGAUAAUUACUGUACUGGACAUUUUACUGGUGUCAAGAUUACAUAUUCAGCAUGGAAUAGCAGACAAAUACAUGGUGCUGUGGGGCUCUGCUUUGGCCGAUGCAAUCAACCAAUUCAAGAUGAUGCCGUUCCUAAUCCUCUCAGGACAGCUUUGCCCGCCUGGAAUCGAGGGCACACUGUUUGCUCUGUUCAUGUCCAUUAACAACCUCAGUUCGACAUUAGGUUCAUUCCUUGGAGCUGCAUUGACGUCAGCUUUGAACAUCUCGUCGGUACAGUUUGACAAUCUGGCGCUUGGCCUAGCUGUUCAGCUGAUGGGAACUCUCUUACCUAUUGGAUUUUUGUUUCUGAUUCCAAGGGACGUUACAGGACUAACAUCGGGUUACAGACCUGAUCAUCAUUUUUUCUGGACUGGUCUGGUCUGUAUUCCCUAG